AUCCAGUUGACGAGUCCCAAAUAGGACGAAACGUGCGUCAUGGAU
rnacentral:hammerhead_ribozyme from 1 species